UACUUGACAUUUGUGACCCUAAUUAUGGGUCUUAUGCACUAACGGGUGAUGGGAGUGAGCCCUGAGAGUCUUAGAUAUCACCUUACCAGGGAGCUCAAGCAUGUGAAGUUAUUGAAAGGUCUUCAAAUAAGGGAAGAUUCUACAGGCAGGGAGAGGAGGCUGCUUCCUCCAGCAAGGAUGGCUCAGAGAGACUUUGGGUGUAAAUUUCCCAGCUUUUCUUGAAUCCACACAGAUAACCCAAUUCCAAGUCUUGGAGAGCCCCCUGCUACAAUCAAAGCCUAACUUUUACACAAAUGUAUUGUGUCACUGGAGAAGCUGUCUGAUUCUCUGAACAUGACGCAAGCCUUGCAGUCACCACCACUAUGAAGGUCAGAUACAGCACCCAAGGCCCUUGCACCUCUGCCACCACCGUGAGAAGUACGUAUCCUGGCCAGCCUGCUGACUCAGGAGGUUGAGAAUCAGGUGCAGCAUACCAGAGCACUGCUUCAGUGUCAGGGUAGAGCUGCUCCAUGACCCAGAGAUUCAUAAGAGUAAGUUAUUUUUCUCAAGACCAGUGAGUUUGUUAAACAACAGAAUUGUGGCCAUACCCAACCAAUACACAGCAUGAAUCUUUUCCAUUAUGUUACUAUACAAUUAUGCAAUUGAUCAUUCUAUAUGCAUUGUUUUGUUAAACUGCAUGUCUUAGGGAUCCUGCAAGGUUAGUACCUAUAAGCCAAACUUAGUCUUUUUAAUGGCUGCAGAGUAUUCUGCAGUAUGGCUAUAGCAAAACUUAUUUAUUCAUUCCCCUGUUGAUGAAUAUCGAACUUCCCAAUCUCUCCUUAAAUCAACAAGGCUGAAAUGAACAUUUUUAUGUAUAUAUGACUUUUCACACUUGGGCAUCAUAUUUAAGAUAGAUUCCUGGUGUAAAGUUUAUGAAUCAAAAUAUGUACAUAUUUAAAUUUUGAGAAUUACUGCCACUUUUUCUGAAAGGCUACACAUUUGGACUCCCAAAAAUGAUGAAUGAGAACAUUGAUUACCCUGCGUCUUCUAAAUUAAUCCCAGUCUAAUAGAUGAGGAAAAAGUCUCAUGGUUGUAACAUACUAUGUCUUGAUUUUUGAGUAAGUUUAACACAUUUUCAUAUGCUUACUGACUAUGUUUGACUCUUCUGAGAGAGUAUGUUCAUGGUCUAAAUUUUUCUAUUAAAAUGUU